AGUUAUUCCAGGUAUGAUUCUGUAUACUCGUCUCCCAAACUGUAUUAUCAAAUUUGUACACUUUAGAAGAUCGCAUUUAGUCUAUUGAUGGAGGGUAUCCAGAAAAUGGCACUGACAUCAGAAAGUGAUAAUAGAAAUUUGGAUGUAUGUCAUUUGAAAAAAAAUUCAUCGUUCAUUAUUGGUUGAAACAGCUAGAUUUUUCCUUUGAUGAUUUACAUAAUAUGAUCUUCAUCUAU
rnacentral:misc_RNA from 1 species